rnacentral:rRNA from 1 species
UGCCAGCAGCCGCGGUAACACGAACUGUGCGAACGUUGUUCGGAAUCACUGGGCGUAAAGGGCGCGCAGGCUGCCUGUCAAGUCUCGCGUGAAAUCCCCCGGCUCAACUGGGGAACUGCGCGGGAAACUGGUGGGCUUGAGUUCGGGAGAGGGAAGCGGAAUUCCGGGUGUAGCGGUGAAAUGCGCAGAUAUCCGGAGGAACACCAGUGGCGAAGGCGGCUUCCUGGACCGACACUGACGCUGAGGCGCGAAAGCUAGGGUAGCAAACGGGAUUAGAUA